rnacentral:tRNA from 1 species
GCGCCGAUAGUCUAAUGGUAGGACAUCGGCCUUCCAAGCCGCUAAUCCGGGUUCGAAUCCCGGUCGGCGCA